AGAGUUUGAUCCUGGCUCAGGAUGAACGCUGGCGGUCUGCUUAACACAUGCAAGUCGAACGGAGUAGAAAUACUUAGUGGCGGACGGGUGAGUAACGCGUGAGAAUCUGCCUUCAGGACGGAGACAACAGUUGGAAACGACUGCUAAGCCCCGAUGAACCGAAAGGGAAAAUAUUUAUAGCCUGAAGAUGAGCUCGCGUCCGAUUAGCUAGUUGGCGGAGUAAAAGCCCACCAAGGCGACGAUCGGUAGCUGGUCUGAGAGGACGAUCAGCCACACUGGGACUGAGACACGGCCCAGACUCCCACGGGAGGCAGCAGUGGGGAAUUUUCCGCAAUGGGCGAAAGCCUGACGGAGCAAGACCGCGUGGGGGAAGAAGGCUCUUGGGUUGUAAACCCCUUUUCUCUGGGAAGAAAGUUGUGAAAGCAACCUGACGGUACCAGAGGAAUCAGCAUCGGCUAACUCCGUGCCAGCAGCCGCGGUAAGACGGAGGAUGCAAGCGUUAUCCGGAAUGAUUGGGCGUAAAGCGUCCGCAGGUGGCAGUUCAAGUCUGCUGUCAAAGACCGGGGCUUAACUUCGGAAAGGCAGUGGAAACUGAACAGCUAGAGUAUGGUAGGGGCAGAGGGAAUUCCUGGUGUAGCGGUGAAAUGCGUAGAGAUCAGGAAGAACAUCGGUGGCGAAGGCGCUCUGCUGGACCAUAACUGACACUCAGGGACGAAAGCUAGGGGAGCGAAUGGGAUUAGAUACCCCCGUAGUCC
rnacentral:rRNA from 1 species